rnacentral:rRNA from 1 species
UACGAGGGGGGCAAGCGUUGUUCGGAAUUAUUGGGCGUAAAGGGCGCGUAGGCGGUGCGGUAAGUCUGAUGUGAAAUCUCCGGGCUCAACUCGGAGUCUGCAUCAGAAACUGCCGGGCUUGAGUGUGGGAGAGGUGAGUGGAAUUCCUGGUGUAGCGGUGAAAUGCGUAGAUAUCAGGAGGAACACCUGUGGCGAAAGCGGCUCACUGGACCAUAACUGACGCUGAUGCACGAAAGCUAGGGGAGCAAACAGG